rnacentral:tRNA from 2 species
CCCUGGUUAGCUGAGUUGGUAGAUCGCUCUACCUGUAGUGGAGAGGUCCCGGGUUCGAUACCCGGACCAGGCG